UGUUCCCUGGGGUGUUGGUUAAUUCAACUAUGUCCCUGAGCCGAUAAUUCUUACCUAAGGGGGCCCCGUACUUGCUAUUGAGCAUGCCCAUUUCGAUUGGGAAGCCUACGGUGAAUACACGGUCUCCGCCUUGAGCACACGGUGUUCAAGGGCUGACGUUGGAAACGGCAUCUUGGGGAGCUU
rnacentral:other from 2 species